GCCGGGUGCGGUGGCAUGUGCCUGUAAUCCAAGUCACUGGGAGGCUGAGGUUGGUGGAUCAAGUGAGCUGAGGAGCUCUGGGCUGCAGCACGCUAUGUCGAACGGGUGUCCACGCUAAAUUCGGUAUCGAUAUGGUGUUCCUGGGGGAGCCCGGGACCACCAGGUUGUCUAAGGAGGGGUGAACCGGCCCAGGUCGGAAACGAAGCAGGUCAAAUCCCCCGUGUUUUCCAGUAGUGGGAUAAUACAUGUGAGUAGAUGCUGCAGUGCAGCCUUGGCAAAACAUCGAGACCUAAACUUUU
ensembl:misc_RNA Metazoa_SRP Metazoan signal recognition particle RNA